rnacentral:rRNA from 1 species
UUCCGUGAUCCUGCCGGAGGUCAUGCUAUCGAAUCCGACUAAGCAUGCAGUCUGAUAUUCUUCGAAUGUUAGGGCAGAAAGCUCAGUACAAGUAGUUAACAUGCCCUUAAGCCCGGGAUAAUUUCGGGAAACUGAAGCUAAUACCAGAUAGAUAAGAGGUACUGGAAUGUCCUCUUAUCCAAAGAUUUAUCGCUUAAGGAUUGGACUGCUCCGGAUUAGGUUGUUGAUAGGGUAACGUCCUGUCAAGCCAAUAAUCCGUACGAGCCUUGAGAGAGGAAGCUCGGAGAUGGAUUCUGAGACAAGAAUCCAGGUCCUACGGGGCGCAGCAGGCGCGAAACUUUCCCAAUGCACGAAAGUGUGAGGAAGGGAUUCGGAGUGCUUUCCCUUACAUAGGGGAAGCUUUUGUAGAGUGUAAAAAGCUUUAAGAAUAAGUGGUGGGUAAGACGGGUGCCAGCCGCCGCGGUAAUACCCGCGCCACGAGUGAUGACCACGUUUAUUGGGCUUAAAGCGUUCGUAGCCGGUCCAGUAAGUCUUUAGUGAAAUCCCGCAGCCAACUGUGGGGCUUGCUAGGGAAACUGCUGGACUUGGGACCGGGAGAGGUCUGGGGUAUUCCAGGGGUAAGGGUAAAAUCUUGUAAUCCUUGGGAGACCACCCGUGGCGAAGGCGCCAGACCAGAACGGAUCCGACGGUGAGGGACGAAAGCCAGGGGAGCAAACCAAAAGAGGUUAUAUCCUCUUAUGGGCUGAAAGGGGAUUAGAUACCCCCGUAGUCCUGGCUGUAAACGAUGCCCACUAGACAUUGGCAGUCUCAAGGGGGCUGUCAGUGCCGUAGCGAAAGCGUUAAGUGGGCCGCCUGGGGAGUACGGUCGCAAGGCUGAAACUUAAGGGAAUUGGCGGGGGAGCACACAAGGGGUGGAGGCUGCGGUUUAAUUGGACUCAACGCCGGA